rnacentral:rRNA from 1 species
AUACGUAGGGGGCAAGCGUUGUCCGGAAUUACUGGGCGUAAAGCGAACGCAGGCUGACUUAUAAGUCGGUAGUCUAAGGCGGAGGCUCAACUUCCGUUUAUCUAUCGAUACUGUAAGACUAGAGUAUGUGAGAGGGAAGUGGAAUUCCCGGUGUAGCGGUGAAAUGCGUAGAUAUCGGGAGGACCACCAGUGGCGAAGGCGACUUCCUGGCACAAUACUGACGCUCAUGUGCGAAAGCUAGGGUAGCGAACGGGAUUAGAUACCCCGGUAGUCCUAGCCGUAAACGAUGGAUACUAGGUGUGGGUGUCGCAGGGCAUCCGUGCCGCAGCUAACGCGUUAAGUAUCCCGCCUGGGGACUACGGUCGCAAGACUGAAACUCAAAUGAAUUGACGGGG